AUGGUCACCAGGCUCUUCUGUGUGGCUCUUUGUCUCCUGUGGGUAGGACACAUGGAUGCUGGGAUCACCCAGAGUCCAAGAAACGAGAUCGCGAGGACAGGAAAGAGGGUGACUUCUGAGAUGUCACCAGACAGAGAACUAUGACUAUAUGUACUGGUAUCGACAAGACCUGGGACAUGGACUGAGGCUGAUAUAUUAUUCCAUCAAUACUGGCAGCACUCAGAGAGGAGAAGUCUCCGAUGGGUACAAUAUCUCCAGACCAAAUACAAAGGAGUUCCACCUCAUACUGCCUUCUGUUACCUCCUCCCAGAUAUCCGUGUACUUCUGUGCCAACAGUUACCCCACAGCGCUGCACAGCUGCCUCCUCUUUGCACACAAAUGUAGUUGGACUGAUCACCCUGAACUGAGCCCCAAGAAGGCCCUGCCUCCAGAGGAGUCACUGCUCUUGCCAGCAUGAGAGCCUUAGGACAGUUGGCAAUACAACACUUGGGGUUGAAGUCCAUCUCUAUGCCAGUCUCAACCCUGACUGGACAUCACCCCAACAUCCUUAGCCUGCCAGUUCUCUCUUCUGCUGGUCUCUCUUUCCACUCACAGAAAGGAAAAUGCAUCUUUAGUUGAGAUACAUGAAGAGUCCCUUGGUAAUCUCAAAGCCCCCACAUUCUUCUACUGCAUCUGGGUUUCGGUGACUC